AUUUUGAUUCGUCUGACAUGCCUGUCUUAGGCUAAAGGCUUUUUAUUGGGAUCCCUGGUCUACGUCAUCCUCUUGAGAAAAUUCUGCCAAAAUCCAUCUGCAACGCCUUUGUGCAUGGUUCGACAAUGGUGAUUUAGCUCUCGGACUAGUAACUCUAGCUUAUUCAUAAAUUCACCUUGUUAACACUUGGACAGCGAGCGAAGCAGAACGAAGGGAACGCCCUACGAUCUACGUGAAUUGCCUUGUUAUCCUACCAAUUGUUUGUAACUACGGUACUACGUCAUUUUAAAG